UUUGAGAAUUUUACCAGAAAUACUUAGCUAAAGAAAUGAGGAGAUACCAUGGGAAUCUCUUUGGUAAAUGGGAAUUGAGGAACAUACUGUAUAACCCUCCAUGAAUCAAACUGUUGUUGCUAAACUAAUCACCAGGAAAAUCCUUGAAUACAAUCUAGCUAGCAUUUUAGCACACCCCUGCCAUAAUGUUUUUCUUACCUAUCUUUGUGGGAUCUCAGGAGUCUCAUGAAGUUAGAUGUUGUCACUCAUCAAACAUUUAAGUGUUUCAUGUUUUGCACACUGCUGUCAUUUUCCUGCACACCUCGAAAAAGAUGCCAUGAAAGCAAGUUCUCAAUCCCUUCCGAAUUGGCGACCUGAAGCUGACAGCUGAACGCUAGGUCUAGGUUGAGUGACAUUGAGAAAAGUGAUACUAGAGUGAAGUAUUGUUGUGUUGUCCCGCCCACCCUCAGUUGAGAACAGUAAACACAAGGACUUUGAGUGUAGAGUGUUGAGAGCUGAGAGAUGAGAGAGGAUUGAGGAUUGAGGAUUGAGAGGAAGGUGCUGGGAAAAUCUCUCUCGAGUCAAACAGCUGAACAAAAAUUAUUGUGGGUUAUAAGGAAGGGUAGUACUGGGCUAGAGGUUACAGUGAGGUUAGAACAGGGAUAGUGGUUAAGGCAAGGUUAGUACUGGGCUAGGGGUUAAGGUGAAGUUAGUACUGGGCUAGGGGUUAAGGCAAGGUUAGUACUGGGCUAGGGGUUAAGGUGAAGUUAGUACUGGGCUAGGGGUUAAGGUGAAGUUAGUACUGGGCUAGGGGUUAAGGCAAGUUAGUACUGGGCUAGGCGUUAAGGGGAAAGAAGUACUGAGACCGGUGAUCAAGGGGGAUUUAAUUUCUGGAUGUAGGAUUUUGGAGUUCUGUAACAGCAACUAAAUUCACCUGGAAUAAUUAGCUGUGCUAUUUACACACGCUUACACUACAGCUUGUGAUAAUUAAUUCACCUCAACACUGCUAAAGCUUUAGUGACGGGCCUUGCUCAGUCUCUAGAGGCUGAUUGUGACCUCUGAGCCAAUCAGUAAAGAGGCGAAGAUAAUGCAGCAAAAGUCAAUAAUGGAGGGGCACUUUAUAUUUCUUGUACACAUUGUUCCCUGCUGAAUUGGAAUGACUAGCAAUGGAAGAAGGUG
ensembl:lncRNA